rnacentral:rRNA from 1 species
UAUGGCUGUUCGCCAUUUAAAGUGGUACGCGAGCUGGGUUUAGAACGUCGUGAGACAGUUCGGUCCCUAUCUGCCGUGGGCGCUGGAGAACUGAGGGGGGCUGCUCCUAGUACGAGAGGACCGGAGUGGACGCAUCACUGGUGUUCGGGUUGUCAUGCCAAUGGCACUGCCCGGUAGCUAAAUGCGGAAGAGAUAAGUGCUGAAAGCAUCUAAGCACGAAACUUGCCCCGAGAUGAGUUCUCCCUGACUCCUUGAGAGUCCUGAAGGAACGUUGAAGACGACGACGUUGAUAGGCCGGGUGUGUAAGCGCAGCGAUGCGUUGAGCUAACCGGUACUAAUGAACCGUGAGGCUUAACCUUACAACGCCGAAG